CAGAGAAUAGUUUAUAAAUAAAAAUAUUAACUUUGGGAGUUAAAGAAGGGAGAAAAUUUCUUCUCUGA
rnacentral:tRNA from 1 species